rnacentral:misc_RNA from 1 species
GAUGGAGAACGCAGCGAAAUGCGAUAAGUAGUGUGAAUUGCAGAAUUCAGUGAAUCAUCGAAUCUUUGAACGCACAUUGCGCCCCUUGGGAUUCCAUGGAGCAUGCCUGUUCGAGCGUCAUUUGUACCUUCAAGCUUUGCUUGGUGUUGGGUGUUUGUCUCGCCUUUGCGUGUAGACUCGCCUUAAAAUAAUUGGCAGCCGGCGUAUUGAUUUCGGAGCGCAGUACAUCUCGCGCUUUGCACUCAUAACGACAGCGUCCAAAAGUACAUUUUACACUCUUGACCUCGGAUCAGGUAGGGAUACCCGCUGAACUUAAGCAUAUCAAUAAGCGGAGGA